GACGAACGCUGGCGGCGUGCUUAACACAUGCAAGUCGUACGGUAAGGCCCUUUCGGGGGUCCCCGAGUGGCGAACGGGUGAGUAACACGUGAGUAACCUGCCCACAACUUUGGGAUAACGCUAGGAAACUGGUGCUAAUACUGGAUAUGUGCUCCUGCUGCAUGGUGGGGGUUGGAAAGCUCCGGCGGUUGUGGAUGGACUCGCGGCCUAUCAGCUUGUUGGUGGGGUAGUGGCCUACCAAGGCGGCGACGGGUAGCCGGCCUGAGAGGGUGACCGGCCACAUUGGGACUGAGAUACGGCCCAGACUCCUACGGGAGGCAGCAGUGGGGAAUAUUGCACAAUGGGCGCAAGCCUGAUGCAGCAACGCCGCGUGCGGGAUGGCGGCCUUCGGGUUGUAAACCGCUUUCAGCAGGGACGAAGCUUUUUGUGACGGUACCUGCAGAAGAAGCACCGGCUAACUACGUG
rnacentral:rRNA from 1 species